GACGAACGCUGGCGGCGUGCUUAACACAUGCAAGUCGAACGGUGAAGCGCCUUCCUUUUUGGUGGGUGUGGAUGAGUGGUGAACGGGUGAGUAACACGUGAGUAACCUGCCCCCUUCUUCUGGAUAACCGCAUGAAAGUGUGGCUAAUACGGGAUAUUCUGGGUCUGUCGCAUGAUGGGUCUGGGAAAGAUAUUGUUUCGGUGGGGGAUGGGCUCGCGGCCUAUCAGCUUGUUGGUGGGGUGAUGGCCUACCAAGGCGGUGACGGGUAGCCGGCCUGAGAGGGUGGACGGUCACACUGGGACGGAGACACGGCCCAGACUCCUACGGGAGGCAGCAGUGGGGAAUAUUGCACAAUGGGCGCAAGCCUGAUGCAGCGACGCCGCGUGAGGGAUGGAGGCCUGCGGGUUGUGAACCUCUUUCGCCAGUGAAGCAGGCCUGCCUCGUUUGUGGGUGGGUUGACGGUAGCUGGAGAAGAAGCGCCGGCUAACUACGUG
rnacentral:rRNA from 1 species